rnacentral:lncRNA from 1 species
CUCAUUGUAACAAGGAGAACUUAAAUCGUGAUCACUCUAAUUACUGUAAUAUUUGGUAGCAAACAAUCUAUGUACCCUUGCUAAGGUUCCAGUUAAUAGUUUACUCCAUCUUCAGUUUGAAUGUUUGUGUUAAGUGAAGGCGGUACUAGAGGGGAAACUUAACCAAAAUCAGGUAGGGAAAUAAGAGCAAAACUGGGGGUGGGGAGUUUCUUUCCUGGAUUAUGGUGUUUGUAAAAAUUUAGGGAAGUAGUUUUGUGAGAAUACCAGUGACUAUCCUGUCCAUUUUCCCAUUGAAUUUCGUUUUGAGAAUUUUAAACCCUCAAUACUUACGACACGGAAUUUUUCUGGGUUCUCUCUUGAAUGUUUACAAGUAUGUUGAUCCGAUCUUAACCUGUAACUUGGGCAUGUGAUACAGUUACUGUCAUGAAUUUAGAGUAUUAGUCAUGCGUCUGUGGGGAAAUAUGUUCCGGUAAGCUGUUGUGAAACUGAAACUGUAAAAACAGGUGGAAAGGGUUCUUGUACGUUGCUCUGUAUGGUAAGAACCAGUCCUUGUUGCAUCAUGUAUGUGACUACUAACACUUUCUUCCCCUUUACAGCACGAAUAAAGGUUUGCGUUCUGGA